UUCCCAUAUGAUCACCGUAGUUAAGCAAAUAUUGAGCUUGGUCAGUACCUAGAUGGGUGACUGCUUAGGAAUACCAGGUGCUGUAAG